rnacentral:rRNA from 1 species
AGAGUUUGAUCCUGGCUCAGAAUGAACGCUGGCGGCGUGCCUAACACAUGCAAGUCGUACGAGAAAGGGGCUUCGGCCCUGAGUAGAGUGGCGCACGGGUGAGUAACGCGUGGGUAAUCUCCCCUUGGAUUUGGGAUAACUCUGCGAAAGUGGAGCUAAUACCGGAUAGUCUGGCUUUAAUUGAUAAGUCGGUAAAGGAUGCCUCUGCAUAUGCAUUCGUCCAAGGAUGAGCCCGCGUCUCAUUAGCUAGUUGGUAGGGUAAUGGCCUACCAAGGCAACGAUGAGUAGCUGGUCUGAGAGGAUGAUCAGCCACACUGGAACUGAAACACGGUCCAGACUCCUACGGGAGGCAGCAGUGGGGAAUAUUGCGCAAUGGGCGAAAGCCUGACGCAGCAACGCCGUGUGAGGGAUGAAGGCUUUCGGGUCGUAAACCUCUGUCGGAAGGGAAGAACGGGUGAGGGUCUAAUAGGCCUUCAUUUUGACGGUACCUUUAGAGGAAGCACCGGCUAACUCCGUGCCAGCAGCCGCGGUAAUACGGAGGGUGCAAGCGUUAUUCGGAAUUACUGGGCGUAAAGCGCACGUAGGCGGCCUUGUAAGUCAGGGGUGAAAUCCCACGGCUCAACCGUGGAACUGCCUUUGAAACUGCAGGGCUUGAAUCCUGGAGAGGGUGGCGGAAUUCCUGGUGUAGGAGUGAAAUCCGUAGAUAUCANGAGGAACACCGGUGGCGAAAGCGGCCACCUGGACAGGUAUUGACGCUGAGGUGCGAAAGUGUGGGGAGCAAACAGGAUUAGAUACCCUGGUAGUCCACACCGUAAACGAUGGAUACUAGUGUCGGGGACUUGAUCUUCGGUGCCGUAGCUAACGCGUUAAGUAUCCCGCCUGGGGAGUACGGUCGCAAGGCUGAAACUCAAAGAAAUUGAC